UCUGGAUCCUUCCUCCAGGAUUUUCAGCGCUGGGGAGCUCUCCUUUCUGCAGUGUGGAGGAGCGCUGGGCAGGAGGCGGCACCGAGGAGAAUGAGGACAAUGUGAUGCUCAGCCGCUGAGGCCAAUCCAGGGAGCCUGCCUUGAUCUCUGCGAUCAGGAAUGUGGCUGAGCAGAUGCAGCUUCUACCUCCAAAUGGACACGCCUCUCAGAUGCUCUGUUGCUAGAAGGGUCCUGGCAGUGCAGGGAAAGGUGGCUCUGCACUGGAGGCUCCACAUAAAGGGCUCAAAACUUCUGGUCCAGUGGCUAAAAGCUGUUCACAGGGAUGACUGGAACCUACUAAGCAUUCUUUCAUCUGUAGUGAACAUUUUACCAAAAAAAACUCUUGGGCAGGCUGGAGGAUCAGUACUACGUGCUCAAGCCCACGGCCUUGCCCUCCAACUUCCACUUGACUGAGAAGGAGGAGCUGAAGGCCGUGGCCACCCAGGAGAAAUGACACCAAGAUAGCCGCCGGGGGCCUGAGGAACAUGCGAGUGAAGCAGAGGGGAAAGGAGCUUCAGGUUCAUCCUCAUCCUUGAGGGAAAACCUGAGGGCCCAGCCAGGGUCCCGCAAGUUGAAGAGAGCCCUUCUGCAGGGCGAACCCGCACCCAGUGCCACCCAGGAAGCCACCAGUCAGGCGCGGGCACAGAGUCUCUGGAAGGAACUCCAGGAGACAGUGUGGCCUCCACAGUGUGUGGCAGCCUGGGAGAUGCAAACACUUCUGCUGU